rnacentral:rRNA from 1 species
AACGGCGAGUGAAGCGGGAAGAGCUCAAGCUUGAAAUCCGGCGCCCCCGGGGGGUGCCGGAGUUGUAACCUACAGGUGCGUGUUCGCCCGCUGGUGGGGCUGCGGCUAAGUCCGAUUUGAAAAGGGCACCAAGGAGGGUGGCAGUCCCGUUCGUGCCGUGGUCCUGCCUGCGAUGUGGCCUCGCUUCCCAGGAGUCGAGUUGCUUGGGAUUGCAGCUCAAAGGGGGUGGUAAACUCCAUCCAAAGCUAAACACGUGUGGGAGACCGAUAGCGAACAAGUACCGUGAGGGAAAGAUGCAAAGAACUUUGAAAAGAGAGUCAAAGAGUGCCUGAAAUUGCUGAGAGGGAAGCGAAGGAAAGUAGUGUCGAUCGAGGGGAUCUUGCACACGGGGAACGGUCCCCUGGGGCCCUCCCCGUUAUCCCCCGCGCUGUCAGGGGCGGGUGUGGUUUAAGUCGGCGACUGCGGCAUCAUUAGUACAGGUGUUCCGAGGUAACAGCCGGACAAAUGCUGUGGGUCACUGAGCGUCCCGCCCGCGGCCGUCCCUGACGAAAUGUUUUUC